rnacentral:tRNA from 1 species
GCAUCCAUGGCUGAAUGGUUAAAGCGCCCAACUCAUAAUUGGCGAAUUCGCGGGUUCAAUUCCUGCUGGAUGCA